GGGGCUCUAUGUGUCUCUAUGGGUCUCUAUGGGGUCUCUAUGGGUCUCUAUGGGGUCUCUAUGUGUCUCUAUGGGGUCGCUAUGGGGUCACAGUGGGUCUCUAUGGGUCUCUAUGGGUCUCUAUGGGGUUGCUAUGGGGUCUCUAUGGGUCUCUAUGGGUCUCUAUGGGGUCGCUAUGGGGUCUCUGUGGGGCACGCACGUUGCACGGCCGCGCGCAGGCGCAGUGCGAGGCGCUGGAUGAGCUGCCCCCGCUCCCGGUCGCGCUGUCCCUUCCCGUGCCGCACCUUGGACCAGCGGUUGUGGCCGGCGCAGUUCGGGGCCGAGCCCAGCAGGGGGCGCCACUGAGUCAACCACGGCCCGCGGCACCGCGCCCAGCGGGAC
rnacentral:lncRNA from 1 species